CCUACGGGGGGCUGCAGUGGGGAAUUUUGCGCAAUGGGGGAAACCCUGACGCAGCAACGCCGCGUGAGUGAUGAAGGCUUUCGGGUCGUAAAGCUCUGUCAGAAGGGAAGAAAUGUAGGUGGCUAAUAUCCAUUCUACUUGACGGUACCUUCAAAGGAAGCACCGGCUAACUCCGUGCCAGCAGCCGCGGUAAUACGGAGGGUGCGAGCGUUGUUCGGAAUGAUUGGGGGUGAUGCGCGUGUAGGGGGUUGAAAGCCCCGGGCUCAACCUGGGAAGUGCAUUGGAUACUGGUAGACUUGAGUACGGGAGAGGGUAGUGGAAUUCCUAGUGUAGGAGUGAAAUCCGUAGAUAUUAGGAGGAACACCGGUGGCGAAGGCGGCUGCCUGGACCGAUACUGACGCUGAGACGCGAAAGCGUGGGGAGCAAACAGGAUUAGAUACCCGUGUAGUC
rnacentral:rRNA from 1 species